rnacentral:rRNA from 1 species
UACGUAGGGGGCAAGCGUUAUCCGGAAUCAUUGGGCGUAAAGCGCGUGUAGGCGGUUCCGUAAGUCCGCUCUGAAAGCCCAGGGCUCAACCCUGGGAGGCGGGUGGAUACUACGGAACUGGAGUACGGAAGAGGAGAUUGGAAUUCCUGGUGUAGCGGUGAAAUGCGCAGAUAUCAGGAGGAACACCAACAGGCGAAAGGCAGAUCUCUGGGACGUUAGCUGACGCUGAGACGCGAAAGCGUGGGGAGCAAACAG